UACAGAGGUGGCAAGCGUUGUUCGGAAUUACUGGGCGUAAAGGGCGCGUAGGCGGCCUUCUAAGUCAGACGUGAAAUCCCCCGGCUUAACCUGGGAACUGCGUCUGAUACUGGGAGGCUUGAGUAUGGGAGAGGGAUGUAGAAUUCCAGGUGUAGCGGUGAAAUGCGUAGAUAUCUGGAGGAAUACCGGUGGCGAAGGCGGCAUCCUGGACCAUAACUGACGCUGAGGCGCGAAAGCCAGGGGAGCGAACGGG
rnacentral:rRNA from 1 species